CGAUCAGCAGGCCCGAUAACACAGGACUGGGAUCCUGUGGUGGUAAGCCGCCGGAAGCCCAAGGCGGCGGACUUGAAGGAUCCUCGUGUGGUGAACCAGGCGCUGCGAGCCGGGGCGGUGGUGGAGACUGUGAAGAAGCAUGAUGCCGGGCAUAACAAGAAGACCUCUGCAGCGCCCGCAGUGUAUGCGCGGAAGCUGGAUGAGCAGACAGAGCCAGCAGCGCUCGAUCGGGUGGCGGCGGAGGUGAGAUUGUCAAUUCAGAAGGCCAGGUUGGCGAAGAAGAUGGGGCAGGCGGAGCUGGCGAAGCUGAUUAACGAGCGGGUGCAGGAGUACGAGAACGGUAAGGCGGUGCCGAAUCAAGCGGUGCUUGCGAAGAUGGAGCGGGUGCUGGGGGUCAAGCUCAGGGGUAAGAUUAAGUGACGUCGUUUAGAAUUGGUAAGAGUUGAUGGAUUUGGAAGUGUAAUCUGAGUGUUUCUCUUGUUGCUAUAUCUAAAUAUUAGACAUGUGGUAGGGAAAUGGAUUGAAUUCGAGUGCAAAAGAAAG
rnacentral:misc_RNA from 1 species